rnacentral:rRNA from 1 species
AACGAACGCUGGCGGCGCGCCUAAUACAUGCAAGUCGAGCGAGAAGGUGUAGCAAUACACUUGUAAAGCGGCGAACGGGUGAGGAAUACAUGGGUAAUCUACCAUCGAGUGGGGAAUAACCAACCGAAAGGUUGGCUAAUACCGCGUACGCCUCCGAGUCUUCGGGUUCGGAGGGAAAGCUGCACUGUGAGUGUAGCGCUCUUUGAUGAGCUCAUGUCCUAUCAGCUUGUUGGUAGGGUAAUGGCCUACCAAGGCUUUGACGGGUAGCUGGUCUGAGAGGACGAUCAGCCACACUGGCACUGCGACACGGGCCAGACUCCUACGGGAGGCAGCAGUAAGGAAUAUUGCGCAAUGGGCGAAAGCCUGACGCAGCGACGCCGCGUGGGGGAUGAAGGUCUUCGGAUUGUAAACCCCUUUCGGGAGGGAAGAUGGAGCGAGCAAUCGUUCGGACGGUACCUCCAGAAGCAGCCACGGCCAACUUCGUGCCAGC